AUGACUCUCAGCAACGGAUAUCUUGGCUCUCGCAUCAACGAAGAACAUAACGAAAUGUGAUACCUGGUGUGAAUUGCAGAAUCUCGUGAACCAUCGAGUCUUUGAACACAAGUUGCACUUGAGGCCACCCGGCCGAGGGCAUGCCUGCCUUGGCGUCACGU
rnacentral:rRNA from 1 species